rnacentral:SRP_RNA from 1 species
CAGUAAAAAGGGAAAUACAGGAAAUAUAUUUUUUCCUGUAUACUAUAUGCUGUUUGCUGUCUACUGUGUUUUUGUGGUUAGUAUUGAUAGCUGGGUCCUGCGCAAUAGAAGGUUACAAACCCCGCCAGGUCCGGAAGGAAGCAACGGUAAGUAACAUAGCCUAUGUGCCGCAGGGGCGCCUAGCUAUCAAUAGCAACCAUAAAAAGCAGGAGACAGUAGAUAGUAGGCAGUAGACAG